CUAUCGAUACUACUAGUUGACUAUCGAUAGUUUAACAUCUCCAGCACAACCGAUUUUAUUCAUAACUUCUCCAUUUUGUGUAGCUGCGCGUCGGUUUGGUAGUCUAGAAGUUGGGGAGCAGCCAACUUUUUCCUGCAAAAUCGCAUCAUGUGAACACUGUUUACCGGAAUACAUGCAAAGCAACAACACAAACUCGGCUAUUUAUGCGAGUUCAGCCAGAGGUCGGUUAAAAAAUAUACGAUUUGCCGCGAAGUGUUGUUAAUAAAGUACUAAGGUUGCUUAUGUAUAUAGCUAAAUGCAAAUUUUAACCCAGUUGGACGUUCCUUUGGCGCUGGGUUAUAAAGAAACGAAGCUACUGAAUAAGAUAAGAAAAUGCCAACGCUUAACAACACUACAAAUCUGGCAAGUGCCUUGUCAUCGAUAAAUUUGAAGAGCGCAUGCUUCAUUUUCGCGCAAAGGUGCCCUCUAACGACAAUUCUACGAUAUAAAAGUAGGGUUAACGCUAGAAUCAAAAGAUGUUUUCGUGUACGUUAAUCAUAAGAUACGGUUAUUUUAUGGUUAUAUGGGUAUAUUUGUAUAUGGGUUAAGUACGACGUACGACGUAAAAACCGAUUAGGGAUAUUUAUACCGGGCAACAGAUUCCUGCUUAUGACAGCCAGCCCCUCUCACCCAGCUUCUCCUACACCACUACAAGAGAGUUGCCGAUUGAGUGCACGCGAGUUGUAAGCUGUUUUAUCGAUUUAUAAACAGUUAAAAUUCCAGAUACCGCAGUUGCAGGAGUUGAAGCAGUGGCUAUCAGCGUAAUCAACUUUUUCAACCGCCAAUUUAAUUUGUGAUAAAAGCAAAGAAAAACGAUUUAAAUGUGAAUGAAUAAAGUACGAAAUUAAAUUAAAAUCGCAACAAAAAAUCGUCUUCGAUUUACACUGUUGUAACAAAAAUUAGGGAACUUAGUUAGUAGGAAACGCACACAUACACGAGAAACAUAGUUGUGGCAGAAACGAAGCAACGUGUAGUCAUAAAAACCGCGCCAAGUAAAUCCAGAAAUUCCAUAACUCUAUU